AUUGAACGCUGGCGGCAGGCCUAACACAUGCAAGUCGGGCGUGCGGCGGACGGGUGAGUAAUGUAUGGGGAUCUGCCUGAUGGAGGGGGAUAACUACUGGAAACGGUAGCUAAUACCGCAUACCAUCAGAUGCACCCAUAUGUGAUUAGCUAGUAGGUGAGGUAACGGCGCACCUAGGCGACGAUCCCUAGCUGGUACGAGAGGCUGAUCAGCCACACUGGGACUGAGACACGGCCCAAACGCCUACGGGAGGCAGCAGGGGGGAAUAUUGCACAAUGGGCGAAAGCCUGAUGCAGCAAGGCCGCGGGGAUGAAGAAGGCCUUCGGGUUGUAAAGUACUUUCAGUCGUGAGGCGUUACCGAAAGAAGAAGCACCGGCUAACUCCGUGCCAGCAGCCGCGGUAAUUC
rnacentral:rRNA from 1 species